UACAGAGGUCUCAAGCGUUGUUCGGAUUCAUUGGGCGUAAAGGGUGCGUAGGUGGCGGGGUAAGUCAGGUGUGAAAUCUCGAGGCUCAACCUUGAAACUGCACUUGAUACUGCCUUGCUCGAGUACUGGAGAGGAGAUUGGAAUUACGGUGUAGCAGUGAAAUGCGUAGAGUAUCGUAAGGAAGACCAGUGGCGAAGGCGAAUCUCUGGACAGUUACUGACACUGAGGCACGAAGGCCAGGGAGCAAACGGG
rnacentral:rRNA from 1 species